rnacentral:rRNA from 1 species
UACGUAGGCAGCAAGCGUUGUUCGGAGUUACUGGGCGUAAAGGGUGCGUAGGCGGCUCUAUAAGUAUGGUGUGAAAUCUCCCGGCUUAACUGGGAGGGUGCGCCAUAGACUGUGGGGCUAGAGUGUGGGAGAGGAAAGUGGAAUUCCUGGUGUAGCGGUGAAAUGCGUAGAUAUCAGGAGGAACACCGGUGGUGUAAACGGCUUUCUGGACCGAUAACUGACGCUGAGGCACGAAAGCGUGGGUAGCAAACAGG